rnacentral:rRNA from 2 species
GGUGAGUAACACGUGAGCAACCUGCCCCUGACUCUGGGAUAAGCGGUGGAAACGCCGUCUAAUACCGGAUACGACCCGCCACCUCAUGGUGGAGGGUGGAAAGUUUUUCGGUCAGGGAUGGGCUCGCGGCCUAUCAGCUUGUUGGUGGGGUAACGGCCUACCAAGGCGAUUACGGGUAGCCGGCCUGAGAGGGCGACCGGCCACACUGGGACUGAGACACGGCCCAGACUCCUGCGGGAGGCAGCAGUGGGGAAUAUUGCGCAAUGGGCGAAAGCCUGACGCAGCGACGCCGCGUGGGGGAUGACGGCCUUCGGGUUGUAAACCUCUUUUACCACCAACGCAGGCUCGAAGUUUUCUUCGGGUUGACGGUAGGUGGGGAAUAAGGACCGGCUAACUACGUGCCAGCAGCCGCGGUAAUACGUAGGGUCCGAGCGUUGUCCGGAAUUAUUGGGCGUAAAGAGCUCGUAGGCGGCGUGUCGCGUCUGCUGUGAAAGACCGGGGCUUAACUCCGGUUCUGCAGUGGAUACGGGCAUGCUAGAGGUAGGUAGGGGAGACUGGAAUUCCUGGUGUAGCGGUGAAAUGCGCAGAUAUCAGGAGGAACACCGGUGGCGAAGGCGGGUCUCUGGGCCUUACCUGACGCUGAGGAGCGAAAGCAUGGGGAGCGAACAGGAUUAGAUACCCUGGUAGUCCAUGCCGUAAACGUUGGGCGCUAGGUGUGGGGACUUUCCACGGUUUCCGCGCGUAGCUAACGCAUUAAGCGCCCCGCCUGGGGAGUACGGCAGCAAGGCUAAAACUCAAAGGAAUUGACGAGGGCCUGCACAAGCCUCGGAGCAUGUUGCUUAAUUCGACCCAACGCGAAGAACCUUACCAAGGUUUGACAUCACCCGUGGACUCGCAGAGAUGUGAGGUCAUUUAGUUGGCGGG